rnacentral:precursor_RNA from 13 species
UUGCUUCCGGCUCACUCUGGCUCGAGGGCCUUGUACAUAGUAGGCUUUCAUUCACUCGUGUACUUAUACGGUGAGGGUCUACUGUGUGCCAGGCCCUGUCCAGGCAUCGUGUAGAUGGACGC